rnacentral:rRNA from 1 species
GACGAACGCUGGCGGCGUGCUUAACACAUGCAAGUCGAGCGGUAAGGCCCGGUUUUGCUGGGUACACGAGCGGCGAACGGGUGAGUAACAUGUGGGUGACCUGCCUUCAGCUCUGGGAUAAGCCUGGGAAACUGGGUCUAAUACCGGAUGUUCACUGUGCGUUGCAUGGUGUGUGGUGGAAAGUCUGUGUUUUUUGUCAUGGGCGAGCUGGGGAGUGGCCCGCCGGCCAUCAGCUUGUUGGUGGGGUGACGGCCUACCAAGGCGACGACGGGUA